GAUGAGCGCUGGCGGCGUGCCUAAUACAUGCAAGUCGAGCGAACGGACGAGAAGCUUGCUUCUCUGAUGUUAGCGGCGGACGGGUGAGUAACACGUGGAUAACCUACCUAUAAGACUGGGAUAACUUCGGGAAACCGGAGCUAAUACCGGAUGAUAUUUUGAACCGCAUGGUUCAAAAGUGAAAGACGGUCUUGCUGUCACUUAUAGAUGGAUCCGCGCUGCAUUAGCUAGUUGGUAAGGUAACGGCUUACCAAGGCAACGAUGCAUAGCCGACCUGAGAGGGCGAUCGGCCACACUGGAACUGAGACACGGUCCAGACUCCUACGGGAGGCAGCAGUAGGGAAUCUUCCGCAAUGGGCGAAAGCCUGACGGAGCAACGCCGCGUGAGUGAUGAAGGUCUUCGGAUCGUAAAACUCUGUUAUUAGGGAAGAACAUAUGUGUAAGUAACUGUGCACAUCUUGACGGUACCUAAUCAGAAGGCCACGGCUAACUACGUG
rnacentral:rRNA from 1 species